UGAAGCCCUUGCGAACAGGAU
rnacentral:piRNA from 1 species